UCCUUGCUAAGAAUUCCCCCAGAAGCUAGUCUCAAGGGCAAAUGUUCCAGCGACAUUCCUGAGCACCUUCAAUGUUCCAGGAGCUGUGCUAAGAGUUGCGGGUACAGAGAACUGCUGCUCAAAUGGCUGAGAAGGAAUUGUCAUCCAAUUCUGAUUACUUUUCACAGAAGAAUUACAAAGGUUCUUCAUUUGAGAUGAGCCUGCAGAGCUGCUGGGUGAAGAGCAGGAGAAUAGAUGGUGCCAAGGGAGCCCCUGAGAGGCGACUUCAUCAGAGCUGUCCAGCCUUGACAUUUACGAGGGUGGAGUUGCUGGUUCUGUAAUGCACACCCAGAUCAUCUUAUUGGAAUCAGCGUUCUGACUCAGUAG